CCGUAAGCCUACUGAGAACUAAAGACAGACGGAGUCAUUUUCAUCAAAAGCCUACUUUUACCUGAAGGAAGUUUGGCAACACCAGUCUAGUGUGGUCUCCUGAAGGAAAAUGGAAGGGUUGGUGACUUACCAUGACAAGGCAAGCCACUGUGAUUGAGAAGAAAAACUUCUAACCAAGAAAUGGGUGAACUGAAUUGGAGUUUGAAAUCUGCUACUUCUGAACUCUGUAUCUGAACUUCUGAGAUCUAAGAGCAUCCGUAUCAUCUGCAAAUGGAUCAUUACGAUGGAAGGUGUUAAAAUACAAUUGAACAGUCUUCUGGAGAAAAAACAAAUAUUUGGAAGAUAAAGGAAGAAAAGAUAAAUGAGCGGAAAUGUAGGCAGGUCCUGUGGUUCAGUCAAGGAACUGAAACCAAAAAUAACUCAGAGACCCAGGAUAAGCCAAACUGAAUUUGGGGACUUGAAUCCUCAGUCCCACCAGUUUGUCUGAUGCCCCCACCCAAAUACCACGCAUACCGUCAUGUGCUGAUGCAAAACGGCAUUUGUGAGCAGUCUCAACUUGGUUUCAAUCACGGAUUUCACGAAAGGAACACUUUAAAAUUGGAUUUGAACUCCACAGCUCCCAGGAUAGGGCAGAGCUGGAUGGAAACAUCUGGAGAUGUACCCGGGAACAGGGCCCACCAUGUUCCUUGGGAGGAAAUCGAGGCGGCAAGAUUGACGCCCAAGGACUCAUCCAGCCAGUUGACACAAGCCUAGAACUUUCCGCCUGACUUCCAACCAAUACUCUUUCCAGCCCGGGCUGUCAUCACACGUGAUGUUUUGCUUCAUGUACAAAAUAAGGCCCCUCAGAACCUUUCCCGGAACUGGACCUUUGGACCUCAAAAUGGUUUAAUGCACACUUUUGGGAAGGGAGAGCCACAAGGCCUCUAAGUGGUUUUGAUCAAGUUUGCCAAUAUUUACACCGUUGGAUAAUCUGCAUGAACUUCAUAAAUAAUGUAAAUUCCUACAAAGCAAGUUAACCGUGAGCUACGGUGGUCUUUCGAAAAAUCCAUGUUACACAAUCAUCCUGACAAAGUUAACAACUCGAUGGAAUACCGAAGGUAACCACUGAUUGCACUCGCUGCCAUUGACCAUUUUAAGUGUGACUAUUUUUAAAAUACUGUAUGCCUCAUUACGCCGGGCUCUGAAAAUGAGAAAUUUGCUUUAACUGCAUUGUUUUGAAUUGCUGAGAGAAGAAUCUAUCAACCACAAGGUGCCCUGCUGCUGAACUCAGCCAAAAAGCUGUUAAUAACCCCAGCAGAUGUUUCAGCUUUUUAGGCCAAUAGACUCCCUCUCUCCCUGCCCUCCCCUUUCUAGAAUCUGAUGCCAAUAUGACUGAACUCCAGUUUCUGUGGUUGCUGCCUCCGUGGCCGCCUCCACCAGAGUCAGUGAUACUAGAGCUGCUGAGGAAUUGAUUCUUUAAACAACCAGUAGCAACACAGCCCAGCCCUUUAAGGUCAGAGCAUUAUUGCUUUUACCGUUAGAAGUUUAAAUCUUCAGGGAGGAAAUGAAGGUAAGGGCACCGAAUCUGUAGUCCUGUUCUGUCGUCUGCCUUCAUUGCCAGUCAUUUCAUUCUACUUGUUGUGGUUUGUCCCCACGCUCAGAGUCCAUUUCUCAGACUGAUCAGGGCAUUGGGCUUGCCGGGUAGAGGUCAUUAAUACAUCGAGUCCCCACCGGUCGCUGAGGGAUGUUGGGUUAGCAGCUUUACAAAGGGGGCCUCUGUGCGAUGUGCAGUUUGGGAUGGUUGUUUGCCUAAUACCACAAGGCUCAGAAUGCCCUGACCUUAGCAGUUCUGCAAUAUUAGAAGUGUGUAUUAUAAAUACAGCUACAUCCCUGUGAGAUGGGUACAAUAUGAGGGCAUAUGGGGCCACGGCAAUCCCAGAUGGGGAUUUGUCAACUUCUC